rnacentral:rRNA from 1 species
AUUGAACGCUGGCGGUGGGCCUAACACACGCAAGUCGAACGGCAGCACAGAGGAGCUUGCUCCUUGGGUGGCGAGUGGCGGACGGGUGAGGAAUACAUCGGAAUCUACUCUGUCGUGGGGGAUAACGUAGGGAAACUUACGCUAAUACCGCAUACGACCUACGGGUGAAAGCAGGGGACCUUCGGGCCUUGCGCGAUUGAAUGAGCCGAUGUCGGAUUAGCUAGUUGGCGGGGUAAAGGCCCACCAAGGCGACGAUCCGUAGCUGGUCUGAGAGGAUGAUCAGCCACACUGGAACUGCGACACGGUCCAGACUCCUACGGGAGGCAGCAGUGGGGAAUAUUGGACAAUGGGCGCAAGCCUGAUCCAGCCAUACCGCGUGGGUGAAGAAGGCCUUCGGGUUGUAAAGCCCUUUUGUUGGGAAAGAAAUCCAGCUGGUUAAUACCCGGUUGGGAUGACGGUACCCAAAGAAUAAGCACCGGCUAACUUCGUGCCAGCCGCCGCUGUAA